CUUGGGAGACUGAGGCGGGAGAAUCACUUGAACCUGGAAGGCAGAGGUUGCAGUGAGCCGAGAUUGUGCCAUUGCACUCCAGCCUGGGCGACAAGAGCAAAACUCCUUCUCAAAAAAAAAAAAAAAAAAAAAAAAGUGACCAACCUGCUCUAUCAGCACUAACAUGGAGUGAUCUCAAGAACAUAAAGCCUGAAUCUAUUCCUUCCUCAAAUGAGAAGUAGGACUGAGUCUUCUGUUCUUUGCAAAGCAUUUCUCAGCACACCUGCCCAGCUGCAUGAGCUGAGAGGAAAUCAGCAUAUUAAGGAAGAAGAAACAGUGCCUCCUGCUGAAGACUUUACUGCUUCUAGCACCUGUUAGGUGCUGCAGAGGCCAUCUGUGUCACCCGCACACCCAGC
rnacentral:lncRNA from 10 species